rnacentral:rRNA from 1 species
AGUCACUGACAUUAGAUACCCCCGUAGUCCAGGGUGUAAACGCUGCAGACUUGGUGUUGGGAACCCUUCGGGGGUGCUCAGUGCCGGAGAGAAGUUGUUAAGUCUGCUACUUGGGGAGUACGUCCGCAAGGAUGAAACUUAAAGGAAUUGGCGGGGGAGCACCGCGACGGGAGGAGCGUGUGGUUUAAUUGGAUUCAACGCCGAAAAACUCACCAGCAGCGACUGUUACAUGAAAGUCAGGUUGAUGACCUUACUAGAUUUUCAG